CGCUAGCUACAGGCUUAACACAUGCAAGUCGAGGGGCAGCAUGGUCUUAGCUUGCUAAGGCCGAUGGCGACCGGCGCACGGGUGAGUAACACGUAUCCAACCUGCCGUCUACUCUUGGACAGCCUUCUGAAAGGAAGAUUAAUACAAGAUGGCAUCAUGAGUCCGCAUGUUCACAUGAUUAAAGGUAUUCCGGUAGACGAUGGGGAUGCGUUCCAUUAGAUAGUAGGCGGGGUAACGGCCCACCUAGUCUUCGAUGGAUAGGGGUUCUGAGAGGAAGGUCCCCCACAUUGGAACUGAGACACGGUCCAAACUCCUACAGGAGGCAGCAGUGAGGAAUAUUGGUCAAUGGGCGAGAGCCUGAACCAGCCAAGUAGCGUGAAGGAUGACUGCCCUAUGGGUUGUAAACUUCUUUUAUAAAGGAAUAAAGUCGGGUAUGGAUACCCGUUUGCAUGUACUUUAUGAAUAAGGAUCGGCUAACUCCGUGCCAGCAGCCGCGGUAAUACGGAGGAUCCGAGCGUUAUCCGGAUUUAUUGGGUUUAAAGGGAGCGUAGAUGGAUGUUUAAGUCAGUUGUGAAAGUUUGCGGCUCAACCGUAAAAUUGCAGUUGAUACUGGAUAUCUUGAGUGCAGUUGAGGCAGGCGGAAUUCGUGGUGUAGCGGUGAAAUGCUUAGAUAUCACGAAGAACUCCGAUUGCGAAGGCAGCCUGCUAAGCUGCAACUGACAUUGAGGCUCGAAAGUGUGGGUAUCAAACAGGAUUAGAUACCCUGGUAGUCCACACGGUAAACGAUGAAUACUCGCUGUUUGCGAUAUACAGCAAGCGGCCAAGCGAAAGCGUUAAGUAUUCCACCUGGGGAGUACGCCGGCAACGGUGAAACUCAAAGGAAUUGACGGGGGCCCGCACAAGCGGAGGAACAUGUGGUUUAAUUCGAUGAUACGCGAGGAACCUUACCCGGGCUUAAAUUGCAGAUGAAUUACGGUGAAAGCCGUAAGCCGCAAGGCAUCUGUGAAGGUGCUGCAUGGUUGUCGUCAGCUCGUGCCGUGAGGUGUCGGCUUAAGUGCCAUAACGAGCGCAACCCUUGUUGUCAGUUACUAACAGGUUCCGCUGAGGACUCUGACAAGACUGCCAUCGUAAGAUGUGAGGAAGGUGGGGAUGACGUCAAAUCAGCACGGCCCUUACGUCCGGGGCUACACACGUGUUACAAUGGGGGGUACAGAGGGCCGCUACCACGCGAGUGGAUGCCAAUCCCAAAAACCUCUCUCAGUUCGGACUGGAGUCUGCAACCCGACUCCACGAAGCUGGAUUCGCUAGUAAUCGCGCAUCAGCCACGGCGCGGUGAAUACGUUCCCGGGCCUUGUACACACCGCCCGUCAAGCCAUGGGAGCCGGGGGUACCUGAAGUGCGUAACCGCAAGGAGCGCCCUAGGGUAAAACUGG
rnacentral:rRNA from 1 species